rnacentral:rRNA from 1 species
GUGUCCUACGGGGGGCAGCAGUCGGGAAUAUUGCGCAAUGGAGGAAACUCUGACGCAGUGACGCCGCGUAUGGGAAGAAGGUUUUCGGAUUGUAAACCAUUGUCGUUAGGGAAGAAGAAGUGACAGUACCUAAGGAGGAAGCUCCGGCUAACUAUGUGCCAGCAGCCGCGGUAAUACAUAGGGAGCGAGCGUUAUCCGGAUUUACUGGGUGUAAAGGGCGAGUAGACGGCGUUGCAAGUCAGAUGUGAAAGGCUAG